GUGCUCACUUUGGCAGCACAUGUACACAAGUUGGAAUGAUACAGAGAAGAUUGGCAUGGCCCCUGAGCAAGGAUGACAUGCAAAUUCAUGAAGCGUUCCAUAUUUAA